GACGAACGCUGGCGGCGUGCUUAACACAUGCAAGUCGAGCGGAGCGGCGAACGGGUGAGUAACGCGUGAGUAACUGCCCCCCUCUCUGGGAUAACAGUUGGAAACGGCUGCCAAUACCGGAUAGUGGGGGAUGGCUCGGGUCCUUUCGGCUUGUUGGUGGGGUAGUGGCCUACCAAGGCGACGACGGGUACCCGGCCUGAGAGGGGGACCCGCCACCAUGCGCUGCGAGACGGAGCAAACGGCAACGGGGGGCAGCAGUGGGGAAUAUGGCACAGUGGGGGAAACCGUGAUGCAGAAACGCCGCGUGCGGGAUGACGGCCUUCGGGUUGUAAACCGCUUUCAGCCAUGACGCGGUAGUGGCAGAAGAAGCACCGGCUAACUACGUGCCAGCAGCCGCGGUAAUAC
rnacentral:rRNA from 1 species